rnacentral:lncRNA from 1 species
GGUAACCCAAGUUCUAAAAACUUUUUUGUUUUGUUUUUUUGUUUAUCGUCUUCUUUAAUUAUUAGUUUUGGUUAAUCAUAUUCCUGCUUUGUCUUAGGUUCGUUGGCAUUCAAAGAAACAAGUUGUGGGUGCUUGAGUUCAUCACGUUGUCUAUCUUCUCUCACUUCGACAAAUUCUACGCUUUGCUCAUCCACACACCUACAAAAACCUAGGAUGUUCUCACACCCUCUCUCUCUUUAAUUGCUUUUGCAUGACUUAGUUUUCUUAGUCCAAUCGGUUGCCCAUAAUGAUUGACUAGUCUGCUGGCACUUUACUCCCACAUUGUAUAUCAAUGUUAUAGUCCACCUUUUCAAGUUUUUGUUUCUCAUUAGGAUUAGCCUUUUGUCUUUACUUUUUAAACGUUUAGUUUUUAUUUAAUUAGUUUGUGUUUUUUUUUUCUUUCUUUAUUUUUCAUUUUCUCCUUAUGAAUUUUAUAUAUAAAAAAAGAAAAAUUCAAGGAACCCAAAAAUAUGUUCUUUUACUUUGAGUCUUGUUUUUAUUUGUUGUUAGUAGUCAUUUCCCAAUUCUAUGAUGAGAUUUGGUCUUUAUUUUCAAUUAACUUUCAAGAAAAUGUGAGCAUGUCAUUAAUUUUUUACAUUAUCUUUGUGUUAGCCAUACUUUGAUGACUAAACUUGGCAAAUCAUUAUGCAUAUAGCUGUGUUGAUAUGAUGAGGAUUUCACAUUAAUUAAAUUUCCAAAUAAGAAUUAGUGUAACUCUCAUUAUGUGAGCUUUUGAGCCUAUAUGCUUGAUAAGUCCAUAAAUAUACUCAUUUAUGUACUCUUUUUACUUUGGUUUUGUAAGAGAAUUA